AAAAAAAAGACUAUCUCUACACCUAGACCACCCCCAGUCUUGGGCAAAAGAUCUACCUCUACCCAAACUUCCUCGAGUGGAACACUGAAAUGCAAUGCAAAAAAUGGGCAGGAAUUCAUCUUAGACUAGAUUCCUUAUAAGCAGAUCUGGACAUUCUUCCCUGGGAUGGUUGAGCCAAGAAAACUUAGGAACAACGCCUAAGGAGACUUCCACACAUAAAACAAACAGGUGCCAAUGGCUGGCAUAUGAGCUAUGUGAAAGUCUUCAGAGGAUGAACUGAUCCAACCAUUCUGGAGAGCAAUUUGGAAUUAUGCCCAAAGGGUUAUAAAACUG